AGUCUUCUUUGCAUAUGAGAUUUAUUUUUCUGCAGCCGUCGUGUCGUAUCAUGUUACACAAAGCGAACCGGAGAAAACGGAAACGGGGAAACUGGACGAAAUUUAUUGUUCUUUCUGAGGUUAUUUUCUUGUUACAAAAGGUGAGAACAUUUCUGAUUAUUUUUGUGUUUCAUCUUUAACACCGAGCUGUAGCUGGGCAGUGUUAUCGUUAUUGUUCGUUGUUUUAUUACUUAUAUAGGAUUCCAAAUUUGAGGAGAACAUCAAAAUAAAAUCGCAUUCAUUGUGCGAUACGUAAAAUGACUGUUUCAAAAGUAAGUCAUUAUGCAAAGUUGGAAAAUAAACAAGACAACCACAAAACUACACGUAUUAUAUCUACGCAUAAUAUUUAUACUAAUAGUUUAAUUUUUUUUUCAAAAUGUAGAUGCAAAUAAAGACUUUCGUGAUGCAUUAGUGAUAUAACCCUCUUUGACAAAUACAUUCAUUUAAAUGUAAAUCUGGGUCUAAAUUAUUUAAACUAUUCAGAAUGUUCUGGAUUUUCUCCCUUUAUUUCAAAGCAGAUUUAAACAGGCGGCGUUGCGUUCAGGGCGUAAAAACCCAAUUCAAUAACACUUUUAAAUAAUCGUCUUGGCGGGGUGAGCGAGCCACAUUCGCCAUGUUGAGAUCCUUUGUGCGCGCGUGAGAGUGUGUGUGUGUGUGUGUGUGUGUGUGUGUGUGUGUGUGUGUUUCCAGAGGUCUCGUUACCCUGACUUUUUUUCCCCCUUUACCCUAAAUAUAAAAUAUUGUGGGCUAUGGAGGAAAUGUAGAGUAUUUAAAUGUUACAACAUAUUUAAUAAAUUAAAUUAUACCGAUUUUAGUUACAAAUAACAGAACCAAUUUGCACAAACAACCGUAGAGAAUUUGACACCUUUAUAAAGAUUUAGAGGGAUUUUGUCCUAUUAUUCCACGUUGAAAUGUUUACUUUUAUAGAUUCCUCCUCUUGUUUCUUGUCGUCUGAAUCGAUGUCGGAUCUUCUUUUAAAGUCUGCACGCUCCAGAAAAAUGUCAAAUUACAGGCUGGCUCCGGUCGCAGGCCCACUUUACAUAAUUACAUACGGAGGACUAGUCUGCUCACUUUGAAGAACACGCUUUUAGUUCUACUAAUCAUCGCAGCAAGUACAACAGCGGCUCAUUAAAAUGCAAACAUAUUAUCCUUAUUAUCUUAUUCGCAGUUUUUGUAAUUCCGUUUCAACAUUUUUGACAAAAGGCCACUUUCUAUUUUUCUUCAAUCCGUUCGGGUUUUUUUUGCCGAAAAACUCGAUCGACAUUUAUUUAUUCGCAUAAUCGCAGUUUAUUAAACUGCUAUAAACACGUCUCGUAUUCGGGUGUCUGGCUGGAUUUCAGAGGCCUCGCGUUGAAGGUAACCCCCGUGCGCGCGCGCGUGUGUGUGUGUGUGUGUGUGUGUGUGUGUGUGUGUGAGAGAGCUGCGUGAUGGUGAAUUUAAUUCAAAGUGACUGCUCCAACGCGGCAGCUCUUUCUGUGGCAGCAUGAUGAGGCGAUAAUGGCGAUAAUAAUAAUAAUAAUAAUAAUAACAAUAACAAGACGCAGACAGACGGAGAACCACCGGAGUAUUAACGUCCCGAACGACGACUUCUACUUUUGAGUUUUUUACAAGUGUAAAAGAAACAUAAACGAGCUGCUCGUGUUGUCCAACUGCGCAAAUAAUCAUAAUGACGUUAAUACUAUUAUUAAUAUCAAUAUAAAUGUUUGAUUAUAAUGCUGUAUAUAUUUAUUUAAUAAUGAAUACAGCACUCUUGUCAAUACUACAAUAAUACGAGUAAAAUAUUUAAUGAAUGCAUAUGAAUUUAUAACAUUUUGAUUUAAAAAAAAAUGCAGAAUCGCUUUAAGACCUUUAACUAAAAAUGUUUGCCUUGAAAAAAAGUUACACAUCCUACUGCAAACCCUAAAUCAACAAAACGUGUAGAUAAUUACGGGGUAAAUAAUACAAUUAUGAUAUAUUUAAUAGAUAAUAUAGUUGAUGGUUUUAUUUACAGUCAUUGUUGUUGUUUUUAAACUACUUUUAACCAAAAUAGACUCACUCAUCAGAAUAGUUUGGACAGUUGUAUCUUUGUGCAAAACCUGUUUUUCACUUUUCAUAUCUAUGUGAGCAAUUCUAAUAAAAUGUUUAUCCAACUGUUUGGCCGUUUUGCAGUUUAUUCUCUCCCGACGUGUCCGAUAGUCGGCGGAGGCGUGAAAUACGCGCAAUGCUGGAUUUCUGUGUGUCGUCACAAUUAUUUAUUAAAUUAAGUCAGAAACUGACGACCAAGUAUUCUCAACUUAUUUGCAUAUGAAGCAACAUCUGUGCGUGCACGUGUAAUUUAUGUAGGUCUACCUGAAUAAGCAGAAAUAAAAAGAAAAGGCCAGACAAACAAGCUCGUGUGCGCGCGCGCGCGCGUUCCCGAGUGUAAUCCAUACGACGCAACACUGAAGAAGACUUGCCCCUGAUCACUUCUAUUGAAUAUUGGGCUUAAGUGUAAAUAGAUUUAAUUUUAAAAACGUCCUCCAGACUUCCCUGUCAACAGAGCAGACAGGCUUGAGACGGGCCACGGCCGCGGAGCAUGCUGGGAUGUCUGCUCGGAAGUUUAAGCAGCCGACGAGAGAGGACGUGCCGGCCCACCCCCCCCCCCCCCCCCCCAUAGUGAGGAGAAGGCACCCAGCUACGAAAUACAAUACAAACUCAAUUAAAUGCGGUCUCCGCUGCGAAUUGCCGCAAUGAAUGAUGAAUCGGCCGUCGCUCUCACACUGUAGGAUCUCCGAAAUUGCAAUAAUGGGCAGAAUCGUUAUGUAAAAUAUGCACGGGGCCACAUUUACCAAAUUUAGUCCAGGAGGGGCAACUGUCUGUCUGCGCCUUUUGUUCGGAAAUUCCUUCCCAAAUAACCAAGUUUGUCUCUAAAAGCGCGCGUUUAAGGUCAAACCGCCGCAUUGUCCCGUCAGAGCGGAAGGCCGCUGCAAACUGGGGAGGAAUGUAUCCAGACUUUCACAUAUUGAGAGGAUGCUGAAUACAUUUUGUGGCCGUCUAGCGUGAAAUUAGUACAUGGCAAAAAGAUGGUUUAGCAGUAAAGAGUGUAAACAGUAAUUACAAAC
ensembl:lncRNA